UGUGAAGACGCAAGGUUUUCGCGCAGUAAUGUAAGAAUUACUGACGAUCACGCUGUGUAAGAAAAUAAUUGUGACGUGUGUAAACUAUAAUGAAUUCAUUUCAAAUUAUAAAGGUGGCGCAGGAGUCGAACAAGCAGGCGAAGCGUUGACGAAGCUAGGAAAACAACAUGAAAUGUUAUUACUGUGCUAACAUUUCUGUCGGCUACGACUGCUACGACUCCUAGUUAAAUGGUUGAAUAUUCUUCGGUUCUGCAGUCAAGUAUAGGCGAAGAUCGAACGCCGUUGAUGUGUUCGCAAUGUGCGUGUGACGGGGAUCGAAUGUGACCGUAGAAACCGACUAGCCAAAGUCCGGAUCGCAGUGAAUGUGAAGGCGCCCUCGAAUCGGGAUCCUCUGGAGACGCCUCCAGACCCGCUCUCUCCCAUCCCCUCUGCUGCUAUCCCACUACUGUGGCAUCUCGCCUACAUGCUCCCUAUGCGGCGACCCUCACGCCACACUCUCCCACAUCUUUUUUGGCUGCCCUGCUGACCCUACCCCGCAGGGGCAGCCCGCAAUCUCAAGCUGGGAGGACUGGGAGGUCCUGCUCUCGUCCACGGUGCUCUCGUCCACGGUGUAAGAAUAUACCAUACUGUGCUCUCGUCUACGGACCCGACAUCGCAGCUUACUGCGGUGGCUCAGGAUGCCGACGUCAUGAACAAAAGAGACAUGAACGUAUUGAUGUAGUGUGGGACCGUGCGGUGGCCCAGGGACCCAGAGGAGUCCAAACUCACUUGCUGCAAAUAAAGUUUUUCUGUCUGUGUG